GUUUGCUGUCUGUGCACCAUUCUGAAGAUGCCCAAAUUUAUUGAACGCUUGGAGCACACUUUCAGCAGUCAUUAGUCAGUGUUCAGGCAGUUUGUGAACAGGUCUGAGGCGUCUGUGAAAAUGCGAUUUCUCUGUCGUUUCAUUGCUUGUGCUUUCGUUCAGGACAAAAUCCAGGAUUAAGUUACAGCUCGAGUGGCACAAGCCAUGAGUUUGGAAACCAGCUUUAAGAGGAGUUAAAGGCACCGCAAAGUUAUUCUGCUCCAGGCUGCAUGAACAAGAAAGGGGAAAUCUGAAAUCCCUCGGAGGAACGGCACCAUUAAUAACAACUUGAUUCAAGACCGACUGGUAGUCGUUUUCUAUUAAUAAGUUUGUGUUACUCUAACAAUGUUGUUGCUUAUGUUCCUGCGGUAAUUAAGUUGAAAGUUGGAAGUGACAGCGCUCACUGAGGAACAGUGUUUAUUCAAGUUUGUAUUAAACUGAAGUUCGAAUACCACACUCGACUGAUUGUUGUGCCCA